rnacentral:rRNA from 18 species
UACCGGUUAAUCUUGUGCCAGCAGGAGCGGUAAAACAAGUGGUGUUAACGUUCUAUAGGUUGAUUAGGUGUAAAUCGUGAUUUGGACAUUAGGUCAGGGGUGAAAAUUUAUUAUCAGUUAUAAAAUUUAGCUUGUCUUUGUGUGGCAAUUCUAGAUUUGAUGUGGUGUAGGAAUGUUAAUUGUAAUCGUGAAAUGUGUAUAUAAUUGGUAUAAAAUUUAUUUGAUAUGAGUAGCUAUUAUUGGUAGAUAUUCUAUUCACAAAAGCUUGACCUGUGAGAGGGAUUAGAUACCCCAUUAAUUCAACGUCAUAAAUUAUGGCUUAUUGUAGAUUCGAUCUAUUUUUAACAUGUGAAGCUUCUUAACCUAAGGAGUACGUCUUUCAUUUUUGAAACUUAAAUGUUCUGGUGGUGGUUUAGAACAAUAGUGGAAUAGAUGAUUUAAUUCGAUGUUAUGCGAUAAAGCUUAUCAGUUAUCAUAAGAGGGAUACCUAGGUAUAGGUAGAAUUCUAUUUUAGGUAGUGCAUGGCUGUUGGAGGGUAAUGUUUUGUAAUAUUGGGUUCAAUCAAGAAUGGCCGAUAGAGUGUCAAGUUUUUAACAUCUAUUAGAUAGAGUAACGUCGAGUCAUUAUGCUCUUUUGUUCGGAGAUAUUCAUCUGUUACAAGGAAAGCUAUAUAGCUACUUCUUUUCUAGAGUAAAUCAAAUGUUGUCAUCCUAAUUGAAAAUUGAAAUGUUUUUAUGAAGGAGGAAUUCUUAGGAAUCUUUGCUUAGUUAUUUAAAGGUGGAGAGGAGAUAAAUUUUGCACAUACCGCCCGUCAAGCAAAAAGCGGAGAUGGGUGAGAAAACAGACCUGCACACAGUUGUGAAAUGGGCAUGCUAAUUUGUGUUAAGUCGAAACAUGGUUGCUCAUCAGGAAUGAUUCGCUGGA